UAUUCAUUGCGCGAGUACCAGACCCGACAUAGUAGUCAAACCGGAAUCACAUUCUCGCCCGGCAGCUCUCCCGGUGAUUUCUUUAAUCGACACCGCUAUCGCCAGGAUCGCGAGAUCGCAGGAUCGCUCGUGAUCCUUCGUGCACAUCGAUACCCAGGGAACUGGACUUUACGUAAGCCGUGAUUCAUCCUCGGACAGGAAUUCCAGAGCAUUUUACAUAUAAUGGGCGAUAUACCGCAUGCCGACUUUACGCGAACCAUAUCGAUCAGCCAACGGAGGGCCGUAAAGCAUGUCGACGUGUCACCCCUCGCAAUUAUUUAUCAGCCAGGCAUCGAAUGAACGCACAUCGUGCAAACGUACGUGAAAACGUUGGAAAUGAAACUCGUCGAUGACUCACCACGAUCUGGGUCACGAGGAAACAGCCGAGACAAAGGCGUGGUGCUCUCUAGGAAUAUCUUCCAGCCUCUCUGGACCUCGAUCUGCCGGAAAGACGGCUCGGCGGAUGUCGGAGAAGUGUCGGUAUCGGCAGCGCUUUGGCAGCGUGAGACGCACGACUCGGCGUCGAAAAGAAACUGAAACCGAACCGGCAAGAAACGUUCGCCAAAGCGCCGCCGGUUACCGUAAGCCAGUUACAGUAGGGCACAGUCGGUUGCCCCGCCUUCCACCCGGCGACAUUACCGAUAAAAGUAUCAAGGUUUCGCAAACUUGGCAGACCGCGUUAAGACCUGCACAAUAUGCGCACUUCUAGUGGUCUCGAUGGCCGAGUGAAAUCGAUUGUUACUUGGCCACUGUCCUCCUAUGACCUAAGGACGACCACUUUCCAGACCUGCCCCAGAAACCCGGCCGGAAAUUAAACCGACACCUUUACGAUUUUUUCAUGCUUCUCUUAGGAAUUUAAUGCGACACGGGAAGAACUGCCCACGUGGCUUUGACGGAUUCGGAAUUCUUAGUGGGCAUGAAUGGUAAAUUCUAAUGUGCAUGAUUUAUUAAGAUGACCGCGUUUCGGAGCUGCCGCAGAAAUUCAGAACACGAAGAGGUGCCUUUUUGGUUUUAUCCAUAUUUUUCAUCUUGCAUGAAGAUACAGAAUUUAGAGAAAAAUUAAUAUCCACUGUUUUUGACGCAUUUCACUUUUGAUAUACAGGAUGGAUUACGUAGGAAAUUUUUCUAGUUUUUUUAUUUGGGACGAUUUGUAUUAUUUAUGCUAACCGUAUGUAUUGAGGUUCGAUCGAUAAAAUCGACUAUUCAAUUACUUUCGAGAUUACUUUGGCAAGGAGAUAAGGGGUCUAAAUAGCUGCUAAGAUUAUUAUUUGGUACUUCAAAGGAUAUGUAUAAAAUGUAUAAAUAAAUUGUUCAUCAACCCUGAUUAA